rnacentral:tRNA from 1 species
GGCCCCGUCGUCUAGUUAGGCCUAGGACACCGGAUUUUCGAUCCGAUAACAGGGGUUCAAAUCCCCUCGGGGUCA